UCGACUUUUCUUUGGUUGGUUGAACAAUGGUCGGCGUGAAUGUAGCUUCAGAUAAAUUCAGGUUAGAGAAAUAACUUUUAAAAAAUAAGACUGAAGACACAAUUCAGAGACAAUGUUAAAAAAGUCUUAACUUUUAAGUUUCUAAGAAUUAAAUGUCAUUUGUAUCCUAAAUUUGCACAAAGCUGAUUAAAAUGACACACUUUGCCUCCAGAACAGUGAAAGAGAAUAAUAAAUGUUUAAAAGAAGGCUGCUAAAAAGUAAUUCACAUAAAUAAAAGAGCUGGAUUUUUUUAUUAUAUCCUAUUACAUUCAGAUCUUCCUCUUGGUAUUUUAUAUUUACUCCAUUUGUGAGGUUUGUUCUCUCGUUUUCUUUUCUUUCAGUCACAUUUUCUCGGUUCAUGUUCUAUUUUCAGGGUUUGUGUUUUCUCUGUCACUGUCACACCAGAGUUCACUUACUAAUUACUCACAGCUGUCUUCAUUUAAGCUCAUCAGUCUCAGUGUAUUUAAGUGUCAGCUUUUGUCAGCUCAUUAACUUUUAUAUCCUUUUGUUUUCUUUCAUUGUGGUCUUUUUUUUUUUUUUUUGUGUGUGAAAGUUUUCUGCCUUUUGUCACGUUUUAUUGUAAGUGAUGCUUGUGUAUUUCUAAAAAGAAGCAGAAACAAUGGGACUAAAAUUAAAACUUUUUUGACAGAAGGAAAAGAAAAGUCAUGAGGUCUUUUUGAAGAGAGGAAACGCCACAAAAUUCAAACGCAAACAUUUGGAUCCCUGUGUGAACUCUGCAAAUGAGCCAAAGCUCUGUUUUGGGAAAUUGUGAUGAGUGAAAAGGCAAAGACGGAUGCAGUGAGAUUCAAAACAACAAGACUGAAGUCGAUGGCGCACACACCCCUCGUUGUGAGUCCCUUUUUGACGUGAAUCCAUGCGUGGAGCGGAGUACGGGCGUAAGCUCGGAGAGAAAAGGCAGAGAAGACCGGGCAAGGAGGAGAGUUGCUGACGGGAAACCAGGAGGACAAUUCCGUUCCUCACUCCGCAUGACCAUUGAGCUCGUCCUCCUGCGUCAUGCCGUGGUUUUGCCAAUGUCGUAGAAUUUAGAUUUUUUUUUUUUUUUGUUCCAACUUAUUACCCAAAGUUCUUCAUAAAGU